rnacentral:rRNA from 1 species
GAUGAACGCUGGCGGCGUGCUUAACACAUGCAAGUCGAACGAUGAAGCCCAGCUUGCUGGGUGGAUUAGUGGCGAACGGGUGAGUAACACGUGAGUAACCUGCCCUUAACUCUGGGAUAAGCCUGGGAAACUGGGUCUAAUACCGGAUAGGAGCGUCCACCGCAUGGUGGGUGUUGGAAAGAUUUAUCGGUUUUGGAUGGACUCGCGGCCUAUCAGCUUGUUGGUGAGGUAAUGGCUCACCAAGGCGACGACGGGUAGCCGGCCUGGGAGGGUGACCGGCCACCCUGGGACUGCGACACGGCCCAGACUCCUACGGGAGGCAGCAGUGGGGAAUAUUGCACAAUGGGCGCAAGCCUGAUGCAGCGACGCCGCGUGAGGGAUGACGGCCUUCGGGUUGUAAACCUCUUUCAGUAGGGAAGAAGCGACAGUGACGGUACCUGCAGAAGAAGCACCGGCUAACUACGUG